AGAUGUUUUGGGACUACAACUCCCACCACCCCCGACCACUGGUCCUGAUAGCUAGGGAUGAUGGGAGUUGUAGUCCCAAAACAUCU